rnacentral:rRNA from 1 species
GACGAACGCUGGCGGCGUGCUUAACACAUGCAAGUCGAACGGAAAGGCCCUGCUUUUGUGGGGUUCCCGAGUGGCGAACGGGUGCGUAACACGUGAGUAACCUGCCCUUGACUUUGGGAUAACUUCAGGAAACUGGGGCUACUACCGGAUAGGAUCUCCUGCUCCAUUGUGGGGAUUGGAUAUUCUCGGCGGUUGGGGAUGGACUGGCGGCUAAUCGGCUUGUUGGUGGGGGAGUGGCUUACCAAGGCUUGGACGGGUAGCCGGCCUGAGAGCGUGGACGGCGACAUUGGUACUGAGAUACGGCGCAGACUCCUACGUGAGGCAGAGGGGGGGAAUAUUGCACAAUGGGCGGGCGCCUGAUGCGACAACGCCGCGGGCGGGAUGACGUCCUGCUGGUAGAAAACAGCUGUCGCCUGAGACGAAGCGGGAGUGACGGUAACGGGUAAAGAAGCACCGGCUAACUACGUG